GAAGCUGGCAGCCCCUCUCGAAGCAGGCGGUGGCUGAGUUGGCAGAGGUGCCAUGGAGGACGGGCUGCAGAGAGCAGGCAAUGCGGGAGAGAGAGAGAAAAACAGACAGACAAAUUGGCAGAGGCAGAGGCAGGACAGGUAGCGGACGGCGAAUCGGGAGAGGAAAAAGGCUUUCCUCCCACCCCAGGCCUACGCCAGGGUCAAGAGCAGUUGGGCCCCAGAUCUGGUCCAGUCCAAACACCAGGGGGAGAGUCAUCUCCGUCACACCAGCCUGUCUUCUGCACUGACCCCCAGCCUCGCCUCAGAUAGCAUCUGGAUCACACCGCGCCUCCGCUCCUUGCAGUCCUGUCCUGGGCUCUACCAAUCGCAAAGGAGCAUCCCAGUGCAUAGAGAAAAUACCUGCAGCUUCCAGCUUUGAAGAGAUGCAGCCCGCAGUCUGGCCCCAAAGGGAUCCCUGUUCAUCGCUGGCUCUCACUGGGUCCAUCACACUGAGGAUUCCAUUUCUCCCGCCGAGAGAGUACAGCGCUCUGCUUGUAGGAUAGCCACGCAGCAGUCCGGUGGGAGCCUCCGCCCUCCUCCCCGUGCGCCCACUCCCACUGCGCACGCUGAACUGCAUCAGCAUCCGCUGGCUUUGGGAGCUCGCAAACACUGCCCUUGAGAGGCCAGGCCAGGCGCCGUCCCCUCCUCGUAGGAAUAUUCCUGGAUUUCGGCUCUCCCACUGGGAGGUGUAGGAGGAACCUCCGAGGCCCCAGCAGAGGAUGUCUUACAACAGCCAGUCGGCAGUGCGCAGUGUCUCUCUCCGCACAUCACCAGCUGGGUGCAACGGUGCACACGUGGUGAGCACACGGCACCGGGCCAGGGAGUUAGCAGUGUGCUGGGAGAAGGGCGGGUUAUGGCUUGCAGGGAUACACCCAUCGUUGCUCAGCUAUUGCCCGGGACACUUCGGACAGCCUGCUGGGAUGUGGGAAUGAGCAUGAAGGCCUCCUGGAAUUUCACAAACGGCUCCUUUGGCAGUGGGUCAUGGCUCAGGCCGGCACAGGCAACUGGUGAGAAUAAGUCAGGGCGCGUCCAGGGAAGGGGAAAGCAAUGGUGAUUCGUUAUUUAUAUGGCACCAUACGUAUACACGGAGCUUUACAAAACCCCGACACCACAAGGGCCUGCCCGCAAGGCACUCACAGUCGGACUGACAGCACGCCGGGCGGGGAUGGCCAGCCAUGAGGAGAAGUGGGCUCACAGCUGGGAUCUGAAAGGAGGGUCACAGAACCCGGGACGAUCAUCAUCCUUUGUUAUUUGCAUCUCAAUAAUGUCUGGAGACCCCAAACUGAGAUUGGGGCCCCGUCGUGCUAGGGGCUGCACAGCAAGUCUCAGUUCCAGUCCCGGUCUCUAAGAGCUUACAUAAGACAGAUAAAGGAGAGGGGACACUGAGGCACAGGCACCCUAGGUGACACAGCAGGUCAGUGGCAGAGAACCCACAUCUCCUGAGCCCCAGUCCAAAGCCCUAUCCACUAGACCACGCUGCCUCCCACAGACUCAACUCCGAUUCCUGAGCCAUGCAUACAAAGAGCUGCUCCCACCUCCACCCCAUGUUGCCAGAUCCAAUUCCACCGUCCACAGCACUGCGGUGGCCAUGCAGAUACCCCUGUGCUUUCAGUUCUCAGCCCUCUGCUGCACCCCCCAUCAGCCCCGGCUCUGAGACACGUCAGACAGAGCAGGGCUCCUCCAAACACAGCAGUAGCCGGGACAGACAGACCGACAGACACCCCAAAUCUAUGCCCAAAUCAAGUGACCUCCCGGGCUUUCGUUCGCUAUCGCAUCCAUUUCCAUGGAAACGCUUUCCAUGGGCUUACGGCGCCCUGCCAACCUUGGCUAAUCUUCCAAAGCCCAAACACGGGGUUAGGGGCUUUUUUGAACAAUGUGUUUUUAUUUUUGGAGAGGAAGGUGAGAGAGAGCGAAACAGAGAGUGUGUGUCGCGGGGGGCAGGGGAGCGCGGGAUUUACUUUCCUUCCCUCUAAACCCCACGGAGCAAAGGUAUGUAUGUAGGAGCUGGCGGUCACUGUCAGGUUACAUCUGCUGGGGCAUGCAAGAGCGAUUCCAGAUGCACUAGAAGUGCCGUGCUCGAAUUUCAAUUUCAUCGUCUCACAAUCAUUUUCAGCCUCCUCUUAGUGCCACA